AUACGUAGGGGGCGAGCGUUGUCCGGAAUGAUUGGGCGUAAAGGGCGCGUAGGCGGCCUGUUAAGUCUGGAGUGAAAGUCCUGUUUUCAAGAUGGGAAUUGCUUUGGAUACUGAUGGGCUUGAGUGCAGGAGAGGUUAUCGGAAUUCCCGGUGUAGCGGUGAAAUGCGUAGAGAUCGGGAGGAACACCAGUGGCGAAGGCGGGGAUCUGGACUGCAGCGGACACUUAGGCGCGAAAGGGUGGAGAGCAAACAGGAGUAGAUACCCUGGUAGUCCACACUGGAAACGAUGAAUGCUAGGUGUAAUAGGUAGCGACCCCUCUUGUGCCUGAGUUAACACAAUAAGCAUUCCGCCUGGGAAGUACGGCCGCAAGGUUGAAACUUAAAGGGAUUGACGGGG
rnacentral:rRNA from 1 species